rnacentral:rRNA from 1 species
GACGAACCGUGCGAACGUUGUUCGGAAUCACUGGGCUUAAAGGGCGCGUAGGCGGCUCGCCAAGUCGGGGGUGAAAUCUUUCGGCCCAACCGGAAAAGGGCCUCCGAUACUGGCGAGCUCGAGGGAGGUAGGGGCAUGCGGAACUGUGGGUGGAGCGGUGAAAUGCGUUGAUAUCCACAGGAACUCCGGUGGCGAAAGCGGCUCUCUGGGACGGUACUGACGCUGAGACGCGAAAGCGUGGGGAGCAAACAGG